rnacentral:rRNA from 1 species
UGGGGAAUUUUGGACAAUGGGCGAAAGCCUGAUCCAGCAAUGCCGCGUGUGUGAAGAAGGCCUUCGGGUUGUAAAGCACUUUUGUCCGGAAAGAAAUCCUUGGCUCUAAUACAGUCGGGGGAUGACGGUACCGGAAGAAUAAGCACCGGCUAACUACGUGCCAGCAGCCGCGGUAAUACGUAGGGUGCAAGCGUUAAUCGGAAUUACUGGGCGUAAAGCGUGCGCAGGCGGUUUGCUAAGACCGAUGUGAAAUCCCCGGGCUCAACCUGGGAACUGCAUUGGUGACUGGCAGGCUAGAGUAUGGCAGAGGGGGGUAGAAUUCCACGUGUAGCAGUGAAGUGCGUAGAGAUGUGGAGGAAUACCGAUGGCGAAGGCAGCCCCCUGGGCCAAUACUGACGCUCAUGCACGAAAGCGUGGGGAGCAAACAGGAUUAGAUACCCUGGUAGUCCACGCCCUAAACGAUGUCAACUAGUUGUUGGGGAUUCAUUUCCUUAGUAACGUAGCUAACGCGUGAAGUUGACCGCCUGGGGAGUACGGUCGCAAGAUUAAAACUUAAAUGAAUUGACGGGGUCAUAGCUGUUUCCU